CCCGCGACCUCCGCAGAAGCGCAGAUAGAGGAGGAACCCCCGUAGCAGAACCUCGGCCGAUGCUAACCCUCUGACCACCUAACGCCGUAGAAGCGGCACCUACCGCCGUAGAAGCGGCACCUACCGCCGUAGAAGCGGCGCACCAAACCACUCCGCCCCGCGAUCAAAAACAAACCGUUGCUACUACCGCAGCUCACCUCGAGCCCAGCGCCGCACCUGAAGCCAUCAGCCAAGAAGGGCCGCACAGGCUCCACGAGAGGGCACCCAACGAACCAACGAAACUUCAGCCUCGACGCCACCUCGCCCAGGUCCACCACUGCUACUGUCCGCGGGCUACCAGCAAACGCCACACGUGCCAGCCGCGUUCAGGUCGUAUAAAGGGAACACUCCGAGCAACAGUUUCAGCCUCGACAGCCAACGAACACGCACACCAGUAGGCCACCGUACACGGCAGCACCAAACAGGUACAGUCACCGGUCCAACCGGCCACCACGGGUACAGUACACCUAACUCAACAUAGCUAAAAUCGGGCCAAAAGGCAGUUAAUUGGUCCGUUACGAGAAGAAGAAUUAGUUACUUUUACCGUUUAGAAAACGGAGCAAAGUUUUUUUCUUCUUGUCUCGUAACAUUAAUUCAAACUUGAACGUGCACACCAUGAACACUGUCAGAUGGAAAUGAACCUUAUUGGCAUGA
rnacentral:rRNA from 1 species